rnacentral:rRNA from 1 species
AUUGAACGCUGGCGGCAUGCCUUACACAUGCAAGUCGAACGGGCAGCGGGCCUUCGGGUGCCGGCGAGUGGCGAACGGGUGAGUAAUGCAUCGGAACGUGCCAUUGAGUGGGGGAUAACGUAGCGAAAGUUGUCGCUAAUACCGCAUAUUCUGUGAGCAGGAAAGCAGGGGACCGCAAGGCCUUGCGCUCUUUGAGCGGCCGAUGUCAGAUUAGCUAGUUGGUGGGGUAAAGGCCUACCAAGGCGACGAUCUGUAGCGGGUCUGAGAGGAUGAUCCACCACACUGGAACUGAGACACGGUCCAGACUCCUACGGGAGGCAGGCAGUGGGGAAUUGUGGACAAUGGGGGCAACCCUGAUCCAGCCAUGCCGCGUGAGUGAAGAAGGCC